AGCUCCAGAGGGAAGUGAGAAGGAUGUUCACUUGCUGGUGAGAGAAGGAGCUGGUUCCAUCCAUUACGCAGUCCCCUGGGAGCGCUAAAUGCAACUUUAUCUCAACGGGGAGUGGACGAUGAGCAGGACGUCGCUAGAGGGAAAGAGCACAAAGGAAGUAGACCAAGGAGACUGAAGGUGGUUAUGAAGACUGUGCAUCUCUGAGGACAUCUUAAACAAAGAUGACCCAAAUCUUUGAUCUUCAAAUAGUCGAUGUGAACUGCUUAACAAAAUGCCCUGGGAAAACUCUGUCUGAAACAAGCAGCUUGGGGGUUUGAUUUCAUUAGUUACUGGACAAGAACUGGAAUGGAGUGAAAAAUCUUCAUUCAUUUCUUGGUCAGAUGGAGAGAGGAGAAAAAAAGAAGUGGGUUUCCAUUCACUUCCAUUUUCUAACU
rnacentral:lncRNA from 1 species